rnacentral:rRNA from 1 species
UACGAAGGGUGCGAGCGUUGUUCGGAAUUAUUGGGCGUAAAGGGUUCGUAGGCGGGAGUGUAAGUCAAGUGUGAAAUCCCUGGGCUCAACCCAGGACGUGCAUUUGAGACUGCAUUUCUUGAAUGUUGGAGAGGAUAGUGGAAUUGCUGGUGUAGGAGUGACAUCCGUAGAGAUCAGCAGGAACACCGGAGGCGAAAGCGACUGUCUGGCCAAGCAUUGACGCUGAGGAACGAAAGCGUGGGGAGCAAACAGG